GACGAACGCUGGCGGCGUGCCUAAUACAUGCAAGUAGAACGCACAGUUUAUACCGUAGCUUGCUACACCAUAGACUGUGAGUUGCGAACGGGUGAGUAACGCGUAGGUAACCUGCCUGGUAGCGGGGGAUAACUAUUGGAAACGAUAGCUAAUACCGCAUAAUAUUAAUUAUUGCAUGAUAAUUAAUUGAAAGGUGCAAUUGCACCACUACCAGAUGGACCUGCGUUGUAUUAGCUAGUAGGUGAGGUAACGGCUCACCUAGGCGACGAUACAUAGCCGACCUGGGAGGGUGAUCGGCCAAACUGGGACUGAGACACGGCCCAGACUCCUACGGGAGGCAGCAGUAGGGAAUCUUCGGCAAUGGACGAAAGGCUGACCGAGCAACGCCGCGUGAGGGAAGAAGGUUUUCGGAUCGUAAAGCUCUGUUGUAAGAGAAGAACGGGUGUGAGAGUGGAAAGUUCACACUGUGACGGUAUCUUACCAGAAAGGGACGGCUAACUACGUG
rnacentral:rRNA from 1 species